GGACCAUAGGACCAACCAUGCAUAAGCAAAAUUAGACGAUACCAGAUACAAGGGAAUCAUCUGAAGCCAUAAUGUUGGCCAAAAGAACUAAAUUUACAAGCAAUUAUACAAAAAUUCUUAAAGAUACAAUAGGGAUCUGCUCUUUUAAUUUGCAUUGUGAAGAGAGGAUAAACAUACAAUAAUACAAUGUAUAUCUAACCAUAUUCCAUUAUUACUCAGUGCUGAGGAAGGGUACUCGGGUCACUGCGGACCUCUCACAUCCACUUUGCAGAUCCUUAAUGCUCCUCGCAUCAGGCACUAUAGGGUCCACCAACCUGCAAAAGCAUAUACAAGAAGUAAUUUGUCACAACUGCUGUUGCCACCAUAGGUGAUCUGUCAUUCAUUAUUUUUAAAUGUGCCAUGUUUGUUAUUAAUGUGUUUUAUGUGUAUUUGAUACUGUCAAAGAAGAAUUUCAUGUCACCUUCUCUUGUCACCCAUUAAGGUUUAUCCAUUUGUAUUUUUCUGACACGGGUGAAUAUGUGCUUUUUGUACAGAAAAGCAAAGAGGAGAAGAAGAAGAAAAAACACAAACAUGAAGAAAAGGAGGAAGAUCUUAUGGGGGGCGAAGCAGAGGCUCCCGUGACCCCGUCAGAGGAAGUCAAUGAAGUUGUUGCACCGCCCACAACUACUGAGCCAGAGGUUUCGGAUCUGGAUUUCUGGCUCUCAAAUGCUCCAGUGUCCUCUAACACCCAGGAAGCCAAGUCGGUAGCAGCUGAAGCGGCCCCUGUCCCAGAGGCCGCUCCUGGUCCAGCUGCGGACUCUGAGCCUGACGAACCCAAAGAAACUGAGGAGGAGGCAGUAAGUGAUGAUGACUUUAUAAUUAAAACCAUAAAAUCAUGCUCAAAUCAUUCAAGUCUGCCAUUACAAAUGUAUCUACUCUUUAAAAGAAGAGGUUCAGACACAAACUGA
rnacentral:lncRNA from 1 species